GACGAACGCUGGCGGCGUGCUUAACACAUGCAAGUCGAACGGAGAGGCCCUGCUUUUGUGGGGUGCUCGAGUGGCGAACGGGUGAGUAACACGUGAGUAACCUGCCCUUGACUUUGGGAUAACUUCAGGAAACUGGGGCUAAUACCGGAUAGGAGCUCCUGCUGCAUGGUGGGGGUUGGAAAGUUUCGGCGGUUGGGGAUGGACUCGCGGCUUAUCAGCUUGUUGGUGGGGUAGUGGCUUACCAAGUCUUUGACGGGUAGCCGGCCUGAGAGGGUGACCGGCCACAUUGGGACUGAGAUACGGCCCAGACUCCUACGGGAGGCAGCAGUGGGGAAUAUUGCACAAUGGGCGGAAGCCUGAUGCAGCAACGCCGCGUGCGGGAUGACGGCCUUCGGGUUGUAAACCGCUUUCGCCUGUGACGAAGCGUGAGUGACGGUAAUGGGUAAAGAAGCACCGGCUAACUACGUG
rnacentral:rRNA from 1 species